CCCGGCGACCGGCGGCACGGGUGAGUAACACGUAUGAAACCUGCCCGUAGCAGGGGGAGUAAGCGGAAGAAAUUCCGUCUAAUACCGCGUAACAACCCAUGGAGGCAUCUCUGUGGGUUUAAAGGAAGCGAUUCCGGCUACGGAUGGUCAUGCGUCGCAUUAGCCUGUUGGCGGGGUAACGGCCCACCAAGGCGACGAUGCGUAGGGGUUCUGAGAGGAAGGUCCCCCACACUGGUACUGAGACACGGACCAGACUCCUACGGAAGGCAGCAG
rnacentral:rRNA from 1 species